ACAGUACAAUCUGAUCAGGCGGCGAUACUUCGUGCAGCCGGGCUGUUAGACAGCAACAGGAAUAUAAAUGCCUGUGGGACAGU
rnacentral:ncRNA from 1 species